rnacentral:rRNA from 1 species
UACGUAGGGUGCAAGCGUUGUCCGGAUUUAUUGGGCGUAAAGAGCUCGUAGGCGGUCUGUCGCGUCGAAUGUGAAAGCCCAAGGCUCAACCUUGGGUCUGCAUUCGAUACGGGCAGAAUAGAGUAUGGCAGGGGAGACUGGAAUUCCUGGUGUAGCGGUGAAAUGCGCAGAUAUCUGGAGGAACACCGGUGGCGAAGGCGGGUCUCUGGGCCAAAACUGACGCUGAGGAGCGAAAGCGUGGGGAGCGAACAGG